rnacentral:rRNA from 1 species
CCUACGGGAGGCAGCAGUGGGGAAUAUUGCACAAUGGGCGCAAGCCUGAUGCAGCGACGCCGCGUGAGGGAUGACGGCCUUCGGGUUGUAAACCUCUUUCAGUAGGGAAGGAGCGAAAGUGACGGUACCUGCAGAAGAAGCGCCGGCUAACUACGUGCCAGCAGCCGCGGUAAUACGUAGGGCGCAAGCGUUAUCCGGAAUUAUUGGGCGUAAAGAGCUCGUAGGCGGUUUGUCGCGUCUGCCGUGAAAGUCCGGGGCUCAACUCCGGAUCUGCGGUGGGUACGGGCAGACUAGAGUGAUGUAGGGGAGACUGGAAUUCCUGGUGUAGCGGUGAAAUGCGCAGAUAUCAGGAGGAACACCGAUGGCGAAGGCAGGUCUCUGGGCAUUAACUGACGCUGAGGAGCGAAAGCAUGGGGAGCGAACAGGAUUAGAUACCCUGGUAGUCCAUGCCGUAAACGUUGGGCACUAGGUGUGGGGGACAUUCCACGUUUUCCGCGCCGUAGCUAACGCAUUAAGUGCCCCGCCUGGGGAGUCGGCCGCAAGGCUAAACUCAAAUGAAUUGACGGCUGNGACGNGCGAGACGACGACGAGGGAGAGG